rnacentral:rRNA from 1 species
UGCCAGCAGCCGCGGUAAUACGGAGGGGGCUAGCGUUGUUCGGAAUUACUGGGCGUAAAGCGCACGUAGGCGGACUAUUAAGUCAGGGGUGAGAUCCCGGGGCUCAACCCCGGAACUGCAUCACAUACUGCCAGGCUAGAGUACGGUAGAGGGGGGUAGAAUUCCAUGUGUAGCGGUGAAAUGCGUAGAGAUGUGGAGGAAUACCAGUGGCGAAGGCGGCCCCCUGGAUCGAUACUGACGCUGAGGUGCGAAAGCGUGGGGAGCAAACAGGAUUAGAUA